GGCUGGUUAGCUCAGCUGUUUAGAGCGUGGUGCUGAUAACACCAAGGUCCAGGUUUGAACCCUGUACCAGCCA